CAACCCUCAGGCCCCCGGGCCUGGCGUUGGGGAUCGGCGGAGCCCCCCGUGGGCACACGCCGUCCCUCAAAUACAGGGGCGGUCCCGCCGCAGCUUCCAUCGCGUAGUAGCUAACACCUCGCGACUGGAGAGCGGCGCGGCCACGCCGUAAAACACCCAACUCUUCUGA
rnacentral:misc_RNA from 1 species